ACAUCAAAGUGGAGUAUACUUUUUCAUCUGCCCUAUAAUUUGCAAGGCCACGUCGCUCUCUUUUUUUUUUUUUUAAUUUUUUUUAACGUUUAUUUAUUUUUGAGACAGAGAGACAGAGCAUGAACGGGGGAGGGUCAGAGAGAGAGACACAGAAUCUGAAACAGGCUCCAGGCUCUGAGCUGUCAGCACACAGCCCGACUCAGGGCUUGAACUCACUGACUGCAAGAUCAUGACCUGAGCCGAAGUCGGCUGGUUAACCGACUGAGCCACCCGGGCGCCCCAAGGCCACAUCUCUCUUAAUGAGGCAUUCCACAUUAUUACUUUUAAUCGACCUACCUUGCUUCCAAAUGUAUCUUCUUCGGAUCAUUCCUGGGCAAUAUUCCUUUUAAUUCCCUUAGAUUUGGCCCAAAGAGUCGAAAUUAUUACUUGGAAAUUUAAUCUUGUAGGUUUUUUUUUUUUUUUUUUUUUUUGAUGGUGGUUGUUAUUUGGCGUAUGGUACAUAUGUAUUUGGUACAUGAAUUUUAGGUUGUCUGAUACACAGUUAUUAAAAACUUUUAAUUGUAGCCUUUAUUUAUUUAUUUUUUUUCUGGAAAACGUCAUCCUUCAGUAUGAUGAAGUGUCCUCCAUCGUGUUUAAGUCUUUUUGGCUUGCAUCGUCUGGCAGCAAGAUAACCACCUUUGCAUUCUUAUUGUUUCGUUUGUCUUGUGUAUCUUUGUCUAGUCUUAUUUAUCCUUUCUGAAUCACUUCGUUUAAGUGUAUCGCCUCUAGGUGACUUUUGAGGCAUCAUAAACCAUACCAGAACUUAGCGGCUUAAAUCAAGAGCCAUUCAGCUCAUAAUUCUGUUGUUUGGUUGGCGCGGGUCGUCUGGGCUGGCUCAGCUAAUCUCUGCUGGGCUUGCUCAUGUGUUUGAGGUCAGCAAGGGGGCUGGCCGGCGGCUGGAUUCUCUGAGAUAGCUUUGCUCACAUGUCUAACAGCUAGCUGGUUGUCGGCUAGGCCUGGGAGAGUGACUGGGCCAUGGGUCUUUCAUAAUCCAGCAGGCUAAACUGCACACUCAGAAGUCACAGGGUUUCAAGUGCAGCACGAAGGGACCAGCCCUGAUGACUGAAGGGUCACUUGCAUUCCAACUGCUGAUGCCCCACUGGCCAAAGCAAUUCA
rnacentral:lncRNA from 1 species